rnacentral:rRNA from 1 species
GUAGGUGGCAAGCGUUGUCCGGAAUUAUUGGGCGUAAAGCGCGCGCAGGCGGUUCUUUAAGUCUGAUGUGAAAGCCCACGGCUCAACCGUGGAGGGUCAUUGGAAACUGGAGAACUUGAGUACAGAAGAGGAAAGCGGAAUUCCACGUGUAGCGGUGAAAUGCGUAGAGAUGUGGAGGAACACCAGUGGCGAAGGCGGCUUUCUGGUCUGUAACUGACGCUGAGGCGCGAAAGCGUGGGGAGCAAACAGGGAUUAGAUACCCUGGUAGUCCACGCCGUAAACGAUGAGUGCUAAGUGUUAGGGGGUUUCCCGCCCCCUUAGUGCUGCAGCUAACGCAUUAAGCACUCCGCCCUGGGGAGUACGGCCCGCAAGGCUG